rnacentral:rRNA from 1 species
AUGCCUUGUAGAGAUGAAAGAUCAUGGCAAAAGGUCAACGGAAUUGAAGUGAGACCACCUCAGUAUGAAAAACAUGUUGGUAGGCCAUCUAAGAAGAGAAGACAAAAUCCUGUUGAGAUGGAAGAAGGGGCAAAGAUGAGUAGACAUGGCACUAUAUCCCAUUGCAGUGUGUGCAAUUCAAUAGAGCACAACAAAAGAAAGUGCCCAAAUAAAGGUCAACAAGGGCAAUCACUCAGUGUUGAUAAGAGACCACAAACACAAGGAGGACAGAAGAGGAAGCUAGAAGUGAAGAGAAACAUUCUUACACUAGAAUCUGGUACAACAAGUGUUGGACAUAGGAAGCAACGCACUCAAACUACCGUGCUUGAAACACUCCUUCUCCAAGCUCAAGCAUCGCAGCAAUCCCAUGUGUCACCAGGCCCUAUUCCAGAAUCCGCCUUCAUUGCUCGCAACAGAGAUGCUUUGCAGCCCACUACAGCUACCACAUCCACUGUUGGCUUAAAGAAGAAGCAAAAGAAGAGGGUUACAAAGGCCAGUAUCACUGAAUAUAAGUGA